GACGAACGCUGGCGGCGUGCUUAACACAUGCAAGUCGAACGCUGAAGACCUGGCUUUUGUUGGGUUGGAUGAGUGGCGAACGGGUGAGUAACACGUGAGUAACCUGCCCUCUUCUUUGGGAUAACGCCCGGAAACGGGUGCUAAUACUGGAUAUUCACUGAUCUUCGCAUGGGGGUUGGUGGAAAGGUUUGUUCUGGUGGGGGAUGGGCUCGCGGCCUAUCAGCUUGUUGGUGGGGUGAUGGCCUACCAAGGCUUUGACGGGUAGCCGGCCUGAGAGGGUGGCCGGUCACAUUGGGACUGAGAUACGGCCCAGACUCCUACGGGAGGCAGCAGUGGGGAAUAGUGCACAAUGGGCGAAAGCCUGAUGCAGCGACGCCGCGUGAGGGAUGGAGGCCUUCGGGUUGUAAACCUCUUUCGCUCAUGGUCAAGCCGCAACUGUGGGUUGUGGUGAGGGUAGUGGGUAAAGAAGCGCCGGCUAACUACGUG
rnacentral:rRNA from 1 species